GGGGUUAGAGGAGGGUUAGAGGAGGGUUAGAGGAGGGUUGGAGGAGAGUUAGAGGAGGUUAGAAGAGGGUUGGAGGAGAGUUAGAGGACGGUUAAAGAGUUAGAGGAGGUUUAGAGGGGUUAUAGGAGGGUUAGAGGAGAGUUAGAGGAGAGUUAGAGGGGUUAGAGGAGAGUUAGAGGAGGGUUAAAGAGUUAGAGGAGGUUUAGAGGAGGGUUAGAGGAGAGUUAGAGGAGAGUUAGAGGAGAGUUAGAGGAGGUUUAGAGGGGGUUAUAGGAGGGUUAGAGGAGAGUUAGAGGAGAGUUAGAGGAGAGUUAGAGGAGAGUUAGAGGAGAGUUAGAGGAGGUUUAGAGGAGGGUUAGAGGAGGGUUAGAGGAGAGUUAGAGGGGUUAGAGGGGGUUUAGAGGAGGGUUAGAGGAGAGUUAGAGGAGAGUUAGAGGGGUUAGAGGAGGGUUGGAGGAGAGUUAGAGGACGGUUAAAGAAGUUAGAGGAGGUUUAGAGGAGGGUUAGAGGAGAGUUAGAGGGGUUAGAGGAGGGUUGGAGGAGAGUUAGAGGAGAGUUAGAGGGGUUAGAGGAGGGUUGGAGGAGAGUUAGAGGACGGUUAAAGAGUUAGAGGAGGUUUAGAGGGGGGUUAGAGGAGAGUUAGAGGAGAGUUAGAGGAGAGUUAGAGGAGAGUUAGAGGAGAGUUAGAGGAGAGUUAGAGGAGAGUUAGAGGGGUUAGAGGAGGGUUGGAGGAGAGUUAGAGGACGGUUAAAGAGUUAGAGGAGGUUUAGAGGAGAGUUAGAGGAGAGUUAGAGGAGGGUUAGAGGAGGUUUAGAGGAGGGUUAGAGGAGAGUUAGAGGGGUUAAAGGAGGGUUGGAGGAGGGUUAAAGAGUUAGAGGGGUUAGAGGAGGUUUAAGGAG
ensembl:lncRNA